rnacentral:rRNA from 1 species
AUUGAACGCUGGCGGCAGGCCUAACACAUGCAAGUCGGACGAGUGGCGGACGGGUGAGUAAUGUAUGGGAAACUGCCUGAUGGCGGGGGAUAACUACUGGAAACGGUAGCUAAUACCGCAUACCAUCAGAUGAACCCAUAUGGGAUUAGCUAGUAGGUAGGGUAACGGCUCACCUAGGCGACGAUCCCUAGCUGGUCUGAGAGGAUGACCAGCCACACUGGGACUGAGACACGGUCCAGACUCCUACGGGAGGCAGCAGUGGGGAAUAUUGCACAAUGGGCGCAAGCCUGAUGCAGCCAUGCCGCGUGUAUGAAGAAGGCCGUCGGGUUGUAAAGUACUUUCAGCGAGGAGGCGUUACCCGCAGAAGAAGCACCGGCUAACUCCGUGCCAGCAGCCGCGGUAAUUC